rnacentral:snRNA from 1 species
UAUACAAGACUCUAAAAAUAA